rnacentral:rRNA from 1 species
CCUACGGGAGGCAGCAGUGGGGAAUAUUGGGCAAUGGGCGCAAGCCUGACCCAGCAACGCCGCGUGAAGGAAGAAGGCUUUCGGGUUGUAAACUUCUUUUAAGAGGGAAGAGCAGAAGACGGUACCUCUUGAAUAAGCCACGGCUAACUACGUGCCAGCAGCCGCGGUAAUACGUAGGUGGCAAGCGUUGUCCGGAUUUACUGGGUGUAAAGGGCGUGCAGCCGGGAAGACAAGUCAGAUGUGAAAUCCCGCGGCUCAACCGCGGAACUGCAUUUGAAACUGUCAGUCUUGAGUACCGGAGAGGUCAUCGGAAUUCCCGGUGUAGCGGUGGAAGGCGUAGAUAUCGGGAGGAACACCAGUGGCGAAGGCGGCCUGCUGGACAUUAACUGACGCUGAGGCGCGAAAGCGUGGGGAGCAAACAGGAUUAGAUACCCUUGUAGUC